rnacentral:lncRNA from 1 species
CUCCUGCGCCCCGGGGUGGGGCUGGCCGGGCUACUCGGGCCACGCAGCUGGAACCUGGAAAUUAGGAUUGGAAUCCUGAACUCCUAAAUCCAAACUACAGACUGGAAGUUACCAAAAAAUGUCACAGUGGUUCCUUGAUCAGGUAGAAAGAUGACAGAGCCCAACAUACCAGAACCUAGAAAGGAGGCGAAGGAGGCGGUCUAGAGGGAAGAGCACUUUGGUCAAAGGAUCAGGUGCAUAAAUGCGGAGGAAUGAGGAUGCCCGGCUUGCUGGAGGAUCAAGGGAAGGAGCCAAGAAGUCUGGAGCAGCCAAAAAAACACAAAAGAAGUGCAACAAAAGAAGCUCCUGCCUUGACUGAUUGACCAGCCUUACGACGUUCCACCAUUAUGAAUUGUUCCUGUCCUGCCCCAACUGAUCAAUCGACCUUGUGACAUUCUUCUUCUGGACAAUGAAUCUUAUGAUCUCCCCACCAUGGACCCUGUGACCCCCUCCUCUGCUGACAAUAGAUAACCACCUCUAACUGUAACAUUCCACUGCCUACCUCAGUCCUAUAAAGCUGCCCCUCUCCUAUCUACCUUCGCUGACUCUCUUUUCGUACUCAGCCCACUUGCACCCAAGUGAAUAAACAGCCCUGUUGCUCACACAAAGCCUGUUUAGGUGGUCUUCUAUACGGACACAUGUGACAGAUAGCCAAUGGGUAAAACAACCAAGAAGACUGCUUUUGUCACUUAUGACGAGCUUUUACAGUUUCCCAGUUAGAUGGGAGAGAUUAUAAUUUAGUGAGGAUACAUCCUGGGAGAUGAAGAUGACCCUAUGUACAUCUUCCAGUCCAAUUAUAAGGCACAUAUGGCCAGCCAUGUGACCCACAUGCCCAUAAUCAACCCCAAGGAGAAGUACAAGCACCUAGCCAUAAAGACUCAUUUUGCCAUCCCAUCCACGUUUGGCUAGUUACAAGAAGGGUGCAAUUAUAGUGUUGGGGUAGUAACCAUUCCAUGUUACAGGUUUCAGUGUAGUAAUCACUGCUAUUGUCUUUCAAAGCAUAGGGGCACUCUGCCUAAUACCUGAACUUAGACAGCUGUCAUCCAUUCAUCGUGUACAGUAUAACCUUACGUCAGAGUGGAGUUUAAUUUUCUGAUCAAACAAAAAAGAGGCUUCUUUGUUUCACGGUGGGAAGGGAAAGGGCUGGGCCCUGUGUUUCUGUAGUAGAAGGGAAAAAGGGUGGUCCAUUUACCCCAAUCAUAAUAAUUUCCCCAUAUGCUCAUAGUGGCUGGCAGGAUGUGCCAGGGCAGCCUGAGGUGGAGGAGGCAUUAGUUCCGUGCAUACUCAGCAAUUAGUGUUGUUGUGUAGGGAGGCUAAAGUCUGUGCCCAUUUGGCAAAGAGAUUGCUUCUUAGCUGGUUCCAAUACAUGCGCAGAAUUAAGAUGUUAAUCCAAAUCUUUAAGUUAUU